rnacentral:rRNA from 1 species
UACAGAGGGGGCAAGCGUUAAUCGGAAUUACUGGGCGUAAAGCGUGCGCAGGCGGUUGUGCAAGACCGAUGUGAAAUCCCCGGGCUUAACCUGGGAAUGGCAUUGGUGACUGCACGGCUAGAGUGUGUCAGAGGGGGGUAGAAUUCCACGUGUAGCAGUGAAAUGCGUAGAGAUGUGGAGGAAUACCGAUGGCGAAGGCAGCCCCCUGGGAUAACACUGACGCUCAUGCACGAAAGCGUGGGGAGCAAACAGG